CCCUUAGAUGUCCUGGGCUGCACGCGCGCUACACUGAUGUGUCCAGUAAGCACCUAACCUCUUCCGAAAGGAACGGGUAACCUUUGCAAAGCACAUCGUGAUGGGGAUAGAUUAUUGCAAUUAUUAGUCUUGAACGAGGAAUUCCUAGUAAGCACAAGUCAUCAGCUUGUGUUGAUUACGUCCCUGCCCUUUGUACACACCGCCCGUCGCUCCUACCGAUUGAAUGUUCCGGUGAGCUCUUCGGACUGCGCGGUCUGCAGUUUCUGCGUUCCGUGCGGAAAGUUGCGCAAACCUUAACAUUUAGAGGAAGGAGAAGUCAUAACA
rnacentral:rRNA from 1 species